AAGAUGAAUAUAGACUCCAUGAAAA
rnacentral:piRNA from 1 species